UGUUGAUGCUAAUGAGAAGGCCCCUGCUUCUGCAGAGAGUAGAAACUUUUCAAGUCAGUCCAGCACAGCAGAGCAGACCAACCACUAGACAGCAGGGAGAGAACCCUAAGAGGGAGCCAGUCCCUCUUAACACAAACUACAUGGGAUACAUACAGGAGCUGCCAAUAAACAUGGAGCUGAUGGACUGGAAGAUAAAGCAGAAAGAAAAUGAUCCAGGCUGAGAUUAGCCAUGCUUCUGAGAAUGAGGAGGAUCAGUUGAAGCCAGAAUGGUUAAAGAAAGCUUCUGGGAAGUGGAAAAAUAUGAAGUGAGUCCUCUUAAUUGGGUAGGAUUUCUAUGGAGAUGUGUAUGAAGAAUAAGGAUGUUCCAGGGAGAGGCAGCAGUGGGGACACAGGUAAGGUGGUAAAAUGACUCCCUGUGGUUGUAAAGAGUAAUCCUAUGGUGGGAGUAGAGCGGAUAUCCAGUUGUAGGGAGUAAAGUGAUAUUCAGUUGUUUAGGGAGAAUGGAGACAUAUUAUGAAACAUCUCCAGUGUCUAUCACUUUAGUGUUUGUCCCUGGAGUCAUAGGCAUAUGAAACCACUAAAGUUUUCCCAGCAAAGUGGGAUGGGUUGGGAGCUUGGGUUAAAAGAUGCAGACUAUUGCCCUUGGAAUGGAUUAGCAAUGAGAUCCUGCUGUGUAGCGCUGGGAACUAUGGGGAACUAUGUCUAGUCACUUAUGAUGGAGCAUGAUAUUGUGAGAAAAAAGAAUGUACACAUGUAUGUAUAACAGGACAUCAUGCUGUACAGUAGAAAAAAUAAUGUAUUGGGAAAUAAAAAUAUAAAAUAUAAAAAAAGAGUUACA
rnacentral:lncRNA from 1 species